UAUUCUAACUAAUCACUAAAAUUAACGACAAUCCUAAUUAUAAAAAAAAAAAAGGAAAAAAACUGAAUUAUCCUAAUUAUUAAUCAGUAGUCAGCAAGGUUAAUCAACAAGCAAAAACAAGAUUAUAAUAAAUUACAAGAAGUAAGGGAGGAUUAGUGGGGAUUAAUGAAGAACAAAACAUGAGAUAGGCUAUGGGUGUUGUCAAUGGAAAGGAAGGUAUGAAGGGAUUACCUGGUUGGGGCAAAAGGCCCACUUCAACACCCAGAAUCCGGACCCCAUCAGCAACCUAGAAUCUGCAGAUAAGAAGAACAAGCACUGAACAAUUUAUAUCCCUCAACAAGCCGUCUUCCUCACCGCGAAGCAUAUAACUAGUGCGACGAAGAAGAAUGAAAUCGGUACAGUUCCUCACGUCGAAAAUCACCGGUCGAAAAGCUUCCGCACACGGGGAAAGGUUUUCAAGUUCAAUCCUUAAAUGAAGGAGAUCACGAUGGACAAAAACCUCGACGUUUGCUUUACUCUUCUGCUAGUGGAUAAUCGGGAAGAAAAUCCUCGCGUUUUCGCGAUGCCGACUUGAGAUGAGGGAUUGAAUUCGGGUUCGCGUGCUGCUGUUGAAGGAUAGAAAAUCGAGAUGGAGCUUUGUUCGUGCGCGUUGCAUGGAGAUGAGACGAAGACAUUCGGAUAUUGCGGGGGAAGUAUGGCGAAAUCAGUGGUUGAAGCAAUGAAUCAAUUUCUUCACGAAUUGUUCAUUGGAGGAUCCAUGAUGAUAAAUGUCAAAGGGUGUUAAUCCCUCUCGAUUUCCUGUUGCAGUUUCGUCGCAUGUCCUUGGAUGCAGGGUGAAGAAGGUUGAGGUCGGAAGUUGAUAGAGGAUGUGUUGUUCCCGUGAAUCCUUCUCAAUCUCCCUGUUUUUGUUUCUGUUUUUCGACCUGCCACUUUCUCGCUCACAUUCGUUUCUGUGAAUGUUGCAGAGGCUUCUUCGCGGUUGAUUCCGGAAUUGAGAGGUUGAGCAUCGGCAAGAAAGGCACGUGUUGUUUUGCUGAGUUCUUUGAUUUUUCUUGGAAGGUUUCUGCAGAAUUGUAAUUCGAAGAGGGUUGAAGAGUUUUGAAUUGGGGAGUUUCUUUGAGGGUUAGAAGUUACAGGUUUUGGUUGGAGGGUUGUUACUGUUUGAGGUUCCGUUAUGGAAGUUACAAGGUGUGAAUUGAAGAGUUGUUAGAAGUAUGGAGGAUGGUUGAGGAGAAGAUGAUGCAGGGUGGGAGGUUGAGGUUAAGGGGGUUCUGUUAAAUUAUGCAGGUUUUGUUCUUAUCAGUUGAGGGUGAGAAUGAGAGUUAUGAAGGAUGAUGAAGGGCUCUGUUUUGAGGGGGGUCGAAGGUUUGGUUAGUUUCUCUUCUCUUAUGAAGUGAGGGCGAAGAAGAGGUUAUAUGGCGAUUUGGUUACGGAAGUUAGAAAGCUGUUACAUUCGGUUGAGGGUGGUUGAUAAGUUGGUUAUGACAGUUGGAGGUGAGGAGAAAAAUCAGUUAGAAGUGAAGGGAAGUUAGAAAUUAGUUACAGGUUGUUAUGAGCUUUUAGAAGUUGAAGUCAUAAGCUGGAAAAUGAAGUUUUGAGUAGUUAGAAUGAGGAGAAAAGGUGAAUAAAAUCUGUUAUGGAUUGUUGGUUUUUGCUAUCUCUUCAAUAUCUCUGUUUCUGUUUUUGUUAGCUGCUAUUUGCUUUUGUUUUCUUCUGCUAGCAGCUUUUUCUUUGGAAAUUCUGUUGUGGUCUUGGUUGAUGAUUGGCUCUUUUUUUUUUACUCUACAAUGUUUUCUAUGGAGGCUCUUGUUAACUUGGUGCAGGGUUUUAUCCAUGGUCAGCCAUGUCUAUCAUGGGUUCAGUUUCCGGUUUAGAAUUGGUGUUGCAGGGAAGUUAAACAGGCGGGGUUGUUGUUGCAAGGAACCACACAUUUGUCGGAGCUGUUGGCCAUGAAACCGGAUUUUGAUGGAAGUAACUCAUGUUGGAUUGUAUUAGUAGGGUUUAUGGAUUGCUUAAGCAAGGUUUUGGAAAUGUUCGGAAUUUCGAUUGCUCAUGGCUUGGCUUGGAAUGCUUUUGCAACUUUGGAUAUUUUUUGUAAUAAAUUUGUGAUAAAGUGUGUAUUAUAAUGUGAUUGGAAUUGAAGGCUAGGUGUAUGAAUAUGGAAUAUGGAAUAUGAAUUGAAUGAAUGAAUUAGUGUAAUGGUUUGAAUUGUAUUGAAGAGUAAUUUGGAAAUUGAAAUGGUAAUGAUUUGUAAA